rnacentral:rRNA from 1 species
CAUUAUCGAAUAAACUUGAGCAGGCUGUUGCUGGCCCCCCUCCCGGGGUACGUGCACGCUUGUUCUUUGUUAUUUCUCCAACUUGUGCACAUUUUGUAGACCCUGGAGCUUUGUGGAUUUAACAUUCCGAGUCGGGACUGCUGUUCUUCUCCUGAAGUCAGCUUUGCCUUGCAUCUCCAGGUCUAUGUCAAUUUUUAUGUCUUCACAACCAUGUUUAGAAUGUUGGGAUCAGGUCUUUUUGUACCUAUAGAAAUGAAAAUAUACAACUUUCAGCAACGGAUCUCUUGGCUCUCGCAUCGAUGAAGAACGCAGCGAAAUGCGAUAAGUAAUGUGAAUUGCAGAAUUCAGUGAAUCAUCGAAUCUUUGAACGCAUCUUGCGCUCCUUGGUAUUCCGAGGAGCAUGCCUGUUUGAGUGUCAUUCAACUUCUCAACCACAUUCAUUGAUUGUGGCUUGGAUUGUGGGGGUUUGUUUUUGCAGGCUUCUUCUGUAAAAAAGAAAGGUCGGCUCCCCUGAAAUGUAUCAGUGGUAUCUGAGGCUAUUACUAUAGGUGUGAUAAUUAUCUAUGCCCUUGGUAUGCCGCAUGAACUGCUUCCAACAGAGAUGACCCUUUGAUG